GUCUGGCCGAGGCCAAGCGAAACUCGUUGCUUAUACGGACGCUCGAUGUUUGCUUGUGUUGAAAUUUUUAGGACGUGUUAUGUGAAGAGCUUUUUGUGAAAACUUUUGAUUCUACUUCUCAAUAAUAAGAUCGAAUUUUUGCUGUUUGAAAGCCGAACACACAUUUUACGAGAAUAAACAAAUCAACGAAAUUGAAUUUUCAAAAGUUGCCCGUGAAACUGCAAAUAAUAUAA